UAUUGACUUAGUGUAAUUAGUUUAAACAAAGACAGAUUACGUUUUUUUUCGAAUUCAGAACCUUUUACUCUGGUACUAUGUUAUUCUUCUAAAACAUAAAUUAACACUUUCUCGUAACGAACAGACCGUCCCUAGAGCAAGUACAAAGGGCUUGGUGGUUGGUACUCGAGACCUAAGUUCGAAUUCUAGUUGAUUCACAUUUUCAGCUAAUUUUAUUUUUAAAUAAAAUAAACGAAGCAGGUAGCGUGCUACCUAUCUCCCAAAAAAAAAAAAACACUUCCUCCUAAGAACCAACCGCACCUAAUGCAGUUCGCUAAGUGCUCAGUAGUUGAUAUCCGACAUCUUAAGUUUGAACCCUAUUGCUUCACAUUUCUAAGUGAGUUCAAUUCUAAAAAAAACUGCACGAAAAAAACCCUUCUGUUUGAUAUCAUGUACCAGUUAUGUAAAAUAAUUAUCAUUCUCUAAAAGUUUAAAUUAACAAAUCUAAAACUUUAAAUAUCAUAAAUGUCCCUCCAAAAUCUAAAAGUUUACAAAUACAUCCUUAAUCAUCCAAAACUAUCACUAACACUCCUAUAAACCUCAAUUUGGAGAAACUAUCACUAACACUCCU
rnacentral:lncRNA from 1 species